rnacentral:rRNA from 1 species
AACGAACGCUGGCGGCAUGCCUAACACAUGCAAGUCGAACGAGACCUUCGGGUCUAGUGGCGCACGGGUGCGUAACGCGUGGGAACCUGCCCUUAGGUUCGGAAUAACUCCCCGAAAGGGGUGCUAAUACCGGAUAAUGUCUUCGGACCAAAGAUUUAUCGCCUUUGGAUGGGCCCGCGUUGGAUUAGCUAGUUGGUAGGGUAAAAGCCUACCAAGGCGACGAUCCAUAGCUGGUCUGAGAGGAUGAUCAGCCACACUGGGACUGAGACACGGCCCAGACUCGGACGGGAGGCAGCAGUGGAGAAGAUUGGACAGUGGGCGAAAGCCUAGUCCAGCAAUGCCGCGUGAGAGAUGAAGGCGAGAGGAAUGUAAAGCUCUUUUACCCGGGAUGAUAAUGACAGUACCGAGAGAAUAAGAUCCGGCUAACUCCG